CCCAAGUGGAGAGGUCCUUAUGUUGUUCUUCUGUCUACCCUACAGCGAUAAAAGUAGCCGAAGUGGCUCCGUGGAUACAUCACUCCAGGGUUAAACCAGCAGCAGCCGAUUCCUGGCAAGUUACAGCAAAUCCAGAGAAUCCCUGCAAGAUCCGGUUAAAACGCACGACUCAGUCGGAGUGACGAGGAACCUUGUAGAUUACAAAUUUUAUUGUUUCAGAGACUUGGUAGGUG